rnacentral:rRNA from 1 species
CUACCCUUUGGCCUGGAAUAACUCGAGGAAACUUGUGCUAAUACCGGAUAAGUCUUUACGGAGAAAGCUUUAUGCACCAUUGGAUGAGCCCGCACUUGAUUAGUUUGUUGGUAGGGUAAUGGCCUACCAAGACUUUGAUCAAUAGCUGAUUUGAGAGGAUGAUCAGCCACAUUGGGACUGAGACACGGCCCAAACUCCUACGGGAGGCAGCAGUGGGGAAUCUUGCACAAUGGAGGAAACUCUGAUGCAGCGAUGCCGCGUGAGUGAAGAAGGCCUUUGGGUUGUAAAGCUCUUUCGUCGGGGAAGAAAAUGACUGUACCCGAAUAAGAAGGUCCGGCUAACUUCGUGCCAGCAGCCGCGGUAAUACGAAGGGACCUAGCGUAGUUCGGAAUUACUGGGCUUAAAGAGUUCGUAGGUGGUUGAAAAAGUUGGUGGUGAAAUCCCAGAGCUUAACUCUGGAACUGCCAUCAAAACUUUUCAGCUAGAGUUUGAUAGAGGAAAGCAGAAUUUCUAGUGUAGAGGUGAAAUUCGUAGAUAUUAGAAAGAAUACCAAUUGUGAAGGCAGCUUUCUGGAUCAUUACUGACACUGAGGAACGAAAGCAUGGGUAGCGAAGAGGAUUAGAUACCCUCGUAGUCCAUGCCGUAAACGAUGUGUGUUAGACGUUGGAAAUUUAUUUUCAGUGUCGCAGCGAAAGCGAUAA